GUGCCUACGGGGGGCAGCAGUGAGGAAUAUUGGUCAAUGGGCGGGAGCCUGAACCAACCAAGUCGCGUGAAGGAAGAAGGUACUUAGUAUUGUAAACUUCUUUUGUCGGGGAACAAAGGCGGAGACGCGUCUCCGGAUGAGUGUACCCGAAGAAGAAGCAUCGGCUAACUCCGUGCCAGCAGCCGCGGUAAUACGGAGGAUGCGAGCGUUAUCCGGAUUUAUUGGGUUUAAAGGGUGCGCAGGCGGGAGGUUUAGUCAGGGGUAAAAUGUCGGGGCUCAACCCCGGCCGGGCGU
rnacentral:rRNA from 1 species